rnacentral:lncRNA from 1 species
AUCAUUCAGGAGCAGGCCUGGGUGAUCCCAAAGUAAUAUCUGUUCCUCCCUCUGCAUAGAUCACUGAGAAGCAGUGAUGAGCACAGUGACUGCACCAUGUGAUAUGUGAGCAUCAGCUGUGGGAGUCAGGGAAACAUUGGAUGAGUUGCAUGGAGGAUGAGAUUCUUCUACAUACCAAGAAGCUGUGUGACUCUAGAAACUAA